rnacentral:rRNA from 1 species
UACGAGGGGAGCUAGCGUUGUUCGGAAUUACUGGGCGUAAAGCGCGCGUAGGCGGUUAUUCAAGUCAGAGGUGAAAGCCCGGAGCUCAACUCCGGAACUGCCUUUGAAACUAGAUAACUAGAAUCGUGGAGAGGUUAGUGGAAUUCCGAGUGUAGAGGUGAAAUUCGUAGAUAUUCGGAAGAACACCAGUGGCGAAGGCGACUAACUGGACAUGUAUUGACGCUGAGGUGCGAAAGCGUGGGGAGCAAACAGG